rnacentral:rRNA from 1 species
AUUGAACGCUGGCGGCAUGCCUAACACAUGCAAGUCGAACGGAAACGAUGGAAGCUUGCUUCCAGGCGUCGAGUGGCGGACGGGUGAGUAAUGCUUAGGAAUCUACCCUGGAGCGGGGGGACAACCCGGGGAAACUCGGGCUAAUACCGCAUACGUCCUACGGGAGAAAGGGGGCCUCUGAAUGUAAGCUCCCACUCCAGGAUGAGCCCACGUCCGAUUAGCUAGUUGGUAGGGUAAAGGCCUACCAAGGCCACGAUCGGUAGCUGGUCUGAGAGGAUGAUCAGCCACACUGGGACUGAGACACGGCCCAGACUCCUACGGGAGGCAGCAGUGGGGAAUAUUGGACAAUGGGCGAAAGCCUGAUCCAGCAAUGCCGCGUGUGUGAAGAAGGCCUGAGGGUUGUAAAGCACUUUCAAUCGUGAAGAAAAGUUGCAGGCUAAUACCCUGUGACCUUGACGUUAACGAUACAAGAAGCACCGGCUAACUCCGUGCCAGCAGCC